rnacentral:rRNA from 1 species
AUAGAUACCCAGGUAGUCCACGCCGUAAACGAUGAGUGCUAAGUGUUAGAGGGUUUCCGCCCUUUAGUGCUGCAGCUAACGCAUUAAGCACUCCGCCUGGGGAGUACGGUCGCAAGACUGAAACUCAAAGGAAUUGACGGGGGCCCGCACAAGCGGUGGAGCAUGUGGUUUAAUUCGAAGCAACGCGAAGAACCUUACCAGGUCUUGACAUCCUUUGCCGCUUCUAGAGAUAGAAGGUUCCCCUUCGGGGGACAAAGUGACAGGUGGUGCAUGGUUGUCGUCAGCUCGUGUCGUGAGAUGUUGGGUUAAGUCCCGCAACGAGCGCAACCCUUGAUCUUAGUUGCCAGCAUUCAGUUGGGCACUCUAAGGUGACUGCCGGUGACAAACCGGAGGAAGGUGGGGAUGACGUCAAAUCAUCAUGCCCCUUAUGACCUGGGCUACACACGUGCUACAAUGGAUGGUACAAAGGGCUGCGAGACCGCGAGGUUUAGCCAAUCCCAUAAAACCAUUCUCAGUUCGGAUUGCAGG